GAUCAACUCACUUAUUAGAUAUAAUAUCUUGUUUUGCAGAUUUCAUUGGAUUUUCAAGAAGAGGAUCAUAUUAUUGUCACCCUUCUUCCUGUGAUGAUGUGAGAUGAUAAAAUGCCAACGUGUUCAGGUGAAGUGAAGUGAAUGAAAUGACAAAGGCUGCUACUGACAUUCUGAUGACAGCUAAGAAGGAGGAUUGUUGGCAUCUGGACUGUGGUUGUUUGGGGAACACUGAAACUGCAGAAAACGAAACCAUGGAUAAGGGUCAAAAAAAUUAUUCUGAUGUGAAUACUGGCUGGAUGAGUACAUUGGGUG